rnacentral:rRNA from 1 species
GGCCCAGAUCGUUUACCGUGAAAAAAUUAGAGUGUUCAAAGCAGGCAGAUCCAAUUUUCUGCCACCGAAUACAUUAGCAUGGGAUAAUGGAAUAGGACCCUGUCCUCCUAUUUUCAGUUGGUUUUGGCAGCGCGAGGACUAGGGUAAUGAUUAAUAGGGAUAGUUGGGGGCAUUAAUAUUUAAUUGUCAGAGGUGAAAUUCUUGGAUUUAUGAAAGAUUAACUUCUGCGAAAGCAUCUGCCAAGGAUGUUUUCAUUAAUCAAGGACGAAAGUUAGGGGAUCGAAGACGAUCAGAUACCGUCGUAGUCUUAACCAUAAACGAUGCCGACCAGCGAUUAGGAGACGUUGAAUACAAAACACCACCAUCGGUGCGGUCGUCCUUGGCGUCUCGGUCCUUCACGGGGCCGGGGCGCGGGGGUGGCUUAGCCCGGUGGCACCGGUGAAUGACUCCCCUAGCAGCUUGUGAGA